AUGAACGCUGGCGGCGUGCCUAAUACAUGCAAGUCGAGCGAACAGAUGAGGAGCUUGCUCCUCUGACGUUAGCGGCGGACGGGUGAGUAACACGUGGAUAACCUACCUAUAAGACUGGGAUAACUUCGGGAAACCGGAGCUAAUACCGGAUAAUAUAUUGAACCGCAUGGUUCAAUAGUGAAAGACGGUUUUGCUGUCACUUAUAGAUGGAUCCGCGCCGCAUUAGCUAGUUGGUAAGGUAACGGCUUACCAAGGCAACGAUGCGUAGCCGACCUGAGAGGGUAAUCGGCCACACUGGAACUGAGACACGGUCCAGACUCCUACGGGAGGCAGCAGUAGGGAAUCUUCCGCAAUGGGCGAAAGCCUGACGGAGCAACGCCGCGUGAGUGAUGAAGGUCUUCGGAUCGUAAAACUCUGUUAUUAGGGAAGAACAAAUGUGUAAGUAACUAUGCACGUCUUGACGGUACCUAAUCAGAAAGCCACGGCUAACUACGUG
rnacentral:rRNA from 1 species